CUACGGGCCGCACCAGUGGGGAAUAUUGCACAAUGGAGGAAACUCUGAUGCAGCAACGCCGCGUGGAGGAUGACACUUUUCGGAGCGUAAACUCCUUUUAUAUAGGAAGAAGAUGACGGUACUAUAUGAAUAAGCGCCGGCUAACUCCGUGCCAGCAGCCGCGGUAAUACGGAGGGCGCAAGCGUUACUCGGAAUCACUGGGUGUAAAGAGCGUGUGGGCGGAUUAAAAAGUUAGAAGUGAAAUCCUAUAGCUUAACUAUAGAACUGCUUCUGAAACUCUUAAUCUAGAAUAUGGGAGAGGUAGAUGGAAUUUCUGGUGUAGGGGUAAAAUCCGUAGAGAUCAGAAGGAAUACCGAUUGCGAAGGCGAUCUACUAGAACAUUAUUGACGCUGAGACGCGAAAGCGUGGGGAGCAAACAGGAUUAGAUACCCCCGUAGUC
rnacentral:rRNA from 1 species